UACAGAGGUCUCAACCGUUGUUCGGAUUCAUUGGGCGUAAAGGGCGCGUAGGCGGCUCAUACAGUCAGGCGUGAAAUUCCUGGGCUCAACCUGGGGACUGCGCUUGAGACGUGUGGGCUUGAGUGGGGAAGAGGGUCGUGGAAUUCCCAGUGUAGAGGUGAAAUUCGUAGAUAUUGGGAAGAACACCGGUGGCGAAGGCGGCGACCUGGUCCUUGACUGACGCUGAGGCGCGAAAGCGUGGGGAGCAAACAGG
rnacentral:rRNA from 1 species